AGCACAGAACCCGAUGCGGGGCUCGAACUCAUGGACCCCGGGAUCAUGACCUGAGCUGAAGUCGGCCGCUUAACCGACUGAGCCACCCAGGCGCCCUGCUGUUAUUGUGUUUAAUGUUCCUUUGCAUAAUAUGGUCUUUACCAAAUGAUGUGUAAUGUUUUUCUUGGGCUCCUUUUUGGGAUGCUUGUAUUAGGGUGCAUAACAUUGAGAUUGCGGGGCUUGGGAUAAAAAAAGAGAAUGUAGGUGAAGCAUGAUUUACAUGUGGUGCACCAGCUUCUAAAGCCUUGUGACAAGGCACCAAACGGAAAAGAUUCUGAUUUAGCAGUUGUCACAUAAGCAUAUUCCAUGAGUCAAACAUGGAGGAAAAAAUGGAGCACUUGAAGUAAAACAAAUAGUUUUGCCAGUUCAUUGUAAUUAAGCAGUCAUGGAGCACUUGAUUUGCUUGUGCCUAGAAAGGUUGGUAUAAGAGUCAGGGGGGUGACAGGUGGAUCCCUUCUGGGACAUGGCAUGGUGGCAAGAUGUGUAAGUUUCCUUGUUAUGUACUAAGGAGUAUGGACAGUCAAGUAAAAAGAUUCCCUAGCAUUCUCUCCUUUUCAGAGCAAGCCAGUAUCCAAGGCGCCAAGUAAGGAGGCAAAGUAAAGAGGGCCCUGGUAAUGUCACUCACAUCUCUUCCCAUGAUGGAUUCAGGAAAUCCUGUACUACCGAUGUUUUGGAUGGAAAUACAAUCAAUAUCAUUAUCUUCAAGACAUCAGACAUAAAGAACACAGAGGGGAAGAGACACCAGGAAUGUGCACACACACACGGUGAAGACCAACUUGAGGACAUGGAGACAAUGUGACCAUCUCAAGCCAAGGAGACCUCAGGAGAAACCAACCUGCCAAUACCUUGAUCUUGAACUUCCAGUCUCCAGAACGUUUAGGGGAAUCUCGCAACAUCUGAUGUGGUCUUCCUCGGAAGAGAAAGGAAGUUCAACCUAGCAACGUCCGAAAAGAGCAUGCUACGAACACUCAAAAGUGGCAAAUGACCUAGGGGUGGAGCCAUCGAUGUGACAGAUGUGACUGACUCUAGUCUGUUCGGCGGUGUGUCACAGGAUGCUCAGUGUGCCGGGCCUCCCCCACCUUCAUUUCUUUCUUUAAUCAUUUUCAUCUCACAUUUUGAUGAUUUUUCUCAGCCCUUUAAAAGUCUCAUUGAAUCCACUAAUGAACGGAGCACUGAAAAUGUGCUAAUUUGCGAACCUGUGGUCUCAUGGCCAAACUGAUGCUGCCUUUUCCCAGAUGACAGUCCCAGAAUUGAAAGUGACCGCACACCGUGGUCCUCAGAGGACGGAAAUGCGUUCAUGAGUAAGAAAUGAAAUUGCAAGUUUAUGGAGCGUCGUUUCAUAUCUAGACGGCCACGUUGUGCCUGGGUCUUUGGUUCAGACAAUUAGCUGCAUUAUUGCUCUGGCAAUAAAUAAAUAAAUAAACAAGCCUAUUUUGUGAAA